GAUGAACGCUAGCGGCAGGCCUAAUACAUGCAAGUCGAACGGUAACAGGUCCAGCAAUGGAUGCUGACGAGUGGCGCACGGGUGCGUAACGCGUAUGCAAUCUACCUUUAACUGGUGAAUAGCCCGAAGAAAUUCGGAUUAAUACACCAUAGUAUAAUUAAGUGGCAUCAUUUGAUUAUUAAAACUCCGGUGGUUAAAGAUGAGCAUGCGUGACAUUAGCUAGUUGGUGAGGUAAUGGCUCACCAAGGCUACGAUGUCUA
rnacentral:rRNA from 1 species